rnacentral:sRNA from 1 species
UUUAUAUUUUACAGAAACAAAUGGUGAAUUUUAAUAAAGAAAUGACUGUAAUGAAAGACAUGUAUGCGAGAAACACUCCUAACAACAAAGAUGGCUAUGCAGAGAACUCAAAAGUUGAAGCACACAAUUUUUCUUACAACAAUAAAAAACACCAGCUGGUGUCUGCAGAAAAAAAAUUUGACCAAUUUCAAAGAAGUAAUAGAACUUUCUCUACUUCAUCAACAAUAAGUAAUGAUGAGAUUUUUUCAGAAUGAAUACAAGGCACAGCAUCUUUAAAUCAGCUCUAGACUUGGGCGGAAAUCGUCUUCUCUCUCACAUAAACACUGCAAUGAAAGACUUCAUAGCAUUAAAAAAUAUAGUAACUUUUUUUUAAUCAAAGCAUGGACAAUGGUCAACUGUGUGAGCAAAAUAUUAUAACUGUCAUUACAUUUACAGUUGUUGACAUUGUGCAUCCAAUCAAACUUUGUUCUUUUUUUAAUGAAAUAGUAUACCAUGAUGUGUUUUAAUUUCUAUGCAUUGAUAAAUUGCAAAUUGUUUUAUAGUAGUGUAUUUGUAAAGAAAUAAAGAUGACCUACAUUUUGACAUAAAA